rnacentral:tRNA from 1 species
GAGGGCAUAGCUCAAGUGGUAGAGCACAUGCUUAGCAUGCACGAGGUCCUGGGUUCAAUACCCAGUACCUCCA